UACGAAGGGGGCUAGCGUUGCUCGGAAUCACUGGGCGUAAAGGGCGCGUAGGCGGAUCUUUAAGUCAGAGGUGAAAUCCUGGAGCUCAACUCCAGAACUGCCUUCGAUACUGAGAGUCUCGAGUCCGGGAGAGGUGAGUGGAACUGCGAGUGUAGAGGUGAAAUUCGUAGAUAUUCGCAAGAACACCAGUGGCGAAGGCGGCUCACUGGCCCGGUACUGACGCUGAGGUGCGAAAGCGUGGGGAGCAAACAGG
rnacentral:rRNA from 1 species